rnacentral:snRNA from 1 species
UUACCUACCUGGCAGGGGAGUUACCAUGGUCACAAAGAUAAGGCUAGCUCAGGAUGGGACCGAACUCUUACACUCCGGAAGUGCUGAUCCCUGACCCUUCCUCUAACAGGAGAAACUCCACCGCACAGCUUUGGGUAGUGUAUUCACAGGCAUCUCUAUCAUUAAA